rnacentral:rRNA from 1 species
GUCCACGCCGUAAACGAUGGGCACUAGGUGCCGGGUCUCUAGACGGAUUCGGUGCCGCAGUUAACGCAUUAAGUGCCCCGCCUGGGGAGUACGGUCGCAAGGCUGAAAACUCAAAGGAAUUGACGGGGCCCGCACAAGCGGUGGAGCAUGUGGUUUAAUUCGAAGCAACGCGAAGAACCUUACCCAGGCUUGACAUCCAUGUGAAACCUCCUGGAAAACAGGAGGCCUCCUUCGGGACACUUGGACAGGUGCUGCAUGGCUGUCGU